GAAGCUGACCAGACAGUCGCCGCUUCGUCGUCGUCCUUUCGGGGAGACGGGCGGAGGGGAGGAAAGUCCGGGCUCCAUAGGGCAGGGUGCCAGGUAACGCCUGGGGGGGAAACCCACGACCAGUGCAACAGAGAGCAAACCGCCGAUGGCCCACGUAAGUGGGAUCAGGUAAGGGUGAAAGGGUGCGGUAAGAGCGCACCGCGCGGCUGGUAACAGUCCGUGGCACGGUAAACUCCACCCGGAGCAAGGCCAAAUAGGGGUUCAUAAGGUUCGGCCCGUACUGAACCCGGGUAGGCUGCUUGAGCCAGUGAGCGAUUGCUGGCCUAGAUGAAUGACUGUCCACGACAGAACCCGGCUUAUCGGUCAGUUUCACUU
rnacentral:RNase_P_RNA from 1 species